UUUAACAAAAACAUGUCCUUCUGAGUAAAAUUUGAGGUCGGGCCUGCCCACUGACAGAGUUGAAGGGCCGCGGUAUUUUGACCGUGCAAAGGUAGCAUAAUCAUUAGUCUUUUAAUUGAGGGCUGGAAUGAAUGGUUUGACGAAAUAUUAACUGUCUCUGUACAAUAUAUAGAAUUUAACUUUUGAGUCAAAAGGCUUAAAUGAAUAUGAAAGACGAGAAGACCCUAUAGAUCUUUAUAUGAUUAAUGUAAUUAUUUAUUUAGUUGUGUUGAUUAUAGUUAUGUUAUUGUAUUUUGUUGGGGUGACAUGAAGAUAAAAAUAACUCUUUAUAAUGGAAACAUUGAUUUAUGAUUAUUUGAUCCGUUAUUAGCGAUUAUAAGAUAAAGUUACCUUAGGGAUAACAGCGUAAUUUUUUUUGAGAGUUCAUAUCGACAAAAAAGAUUGCGACCUCGA
rnacentral:rRNA from 1 species